GACGAACGCUGGCGGCGUGCCUAAUACAUGCAAGUAGAACGCUGAAGAGAGGAGCUUGCUCUUCUUGGAUGAGUUGCGAACGGGUGAGUAACGCGUAGGUAACCUGCCUUGUAGCGGGGGAUAACUAUUGGAAACGAUAGCUAAUACCGCAUAACAAUGGAUGACACCUGUCAUUUAUUUGAAAGGGGCAAUUGCUCCACUACAAGAUGGACCUGCGUUGUAUUAGCUAGUAGGUGAGGUAAUGGCUCACCUAGGCGACGAUACAUAGCCGACCUGAGAGGGUGAUCGGCCACACUGGGACUGAGACACGGCCCAGACUCCUACGGGAGGCAGCAGUAGGGAAUCUUCGGCAAUGGGGGCAACCCUGACCGAGCAACGCCGCGUGAGUGAAGAAGGUUUUCGGAUCGUAAAGCUCUGUUGUAAGUCAAGAACGGGUGUGAGAGUGGAAAGUUCACACUGUGACGGUAGCUUACCAGAAAGGGACGGCUAACUACGUG
rnacentral:rRNA from 1 species